rnacentral:snoRNA from 1 species
UGCAAGUGAUGUUUCUCUCACGACGGUCUUCCUAGCCUGCAGGGUUUUGACGACGUCACCAUUCGGCAAAGCUGAUGCGGUUAG